rnacentral:rRNA from 1 species
CUACGUGCCAGCAGCCGCGGUAAUACGGAAGGUCCGGGCGUUAUCCGGAUUUAUUGGGUUUAAAGGGAGCGUAGGCCGGAGAUUAAGUGUGUUGUGAAAUGUAGACGCUCAACGUCUGACUUGCAGCGCAUACUGGUUUCCUUGAGUACGCACAACGUUGGCGGAAUUCGUCGUGUAGCGGUGAAAUGCUUAGAUAUGACGAAGAACUCCGAUUGCGAAGGCAGCUGACGGGAGCGCAACUGACGCUUAAGCUCGAAGGUGCGGGUAUCGAACAGGAUUAGAUACCCUGGUAGUCCGCACAGUAAACGAUGGAUGCCCGCUGUUGGUACCUGGUAUCAGCGGCUAAGCGAAAGCAUUAAGCAUCCCACCUGGGGAGUACGCCGGCAACGGCGAAACUCAAAGGAAUUGACGGGGGCCCGCACAAGCGGAGGAACAUGUGGUUUAAUUCGAUGAUACGCGAGGAACCUUACCCGGGCUUGAAUUGCAGAGGAAGGAUUUAGAGAUA